rnacentral:rRNA from 1 species
UACAGAGGUCCCGAGCGUUGUUCGGAUUCACUGGGCUUAAAGGCGCGUAGGCGGCUCACCAAGUCCGGGUGAAAGCCCCAGCUUAAACUGGGGAAGUCCUCGGAUACUGGUGAGCUCGAGGGAGGUAGGGCGGAUGGAACUUCCGGUGGAGCGGUGAAGUGACGCAGAGUAUCAGGAGGAACACCGGUGGCGAAGGCGGU